rnacentral:tRNA from 1 species
CCUGAUGGCUCAGAUGGUAAAGAAUCUGCCUGCAAUGCAGAAGACCUGGGUUCGAUCCCUGGGUUAGGA